rnacentral:rRNA from 1 species
AGAACACCCUUAAUUUUCCUCUAGAAAUAAGGAGUCGGUAUCAGGCACGAAAAUCUGCCCAAGACACCUAGCCAUGCCACACCCACAAGGGAACUCAGCAGUGAUAGACAUUGAACAUAAGCGACAGCUUGAUUCAGUUAAAGUAAAAAGAGUCGGCAAAUCUGGUGCCAGCCGCCGCGGUUACACCACGUGACUCAAAUUGACAUUUUAUCGGCGUAAAGCGUGAUUAAAGCCACUUCCUCACAUUGGAGUUAAACCCGUUACUAAGCUGUGACACGCUUGUAUUCAGAAAACCAAAAACGAAAGUUACCCCAAUUCUUUAACUUGAACUCACGAUAGCUAGGGAACAAACUGGGAUUAGAUACCCCACUAUGCCUAGCCACAAACUUUUAAUUACAUCCACCAUCGCCCGGGAAUUACGAGCCAAGCUUAAAACCCAAAGGACUUGACGGUACCCCACAUCCACCUAGAGGAGCCUGUCCUAUAAUCGAUAACCCCCGUUUAACCUCACCAUUUUUAGUUAAUCAGCCUGUAUACCUCCGUCGUCAGCUUACCCCGUGAGCGAUGAAUAAGUGAGCUUAAUGCCCAUCCGCCAACACGUCAGGUCAAGGUGCAGCAAAUAAAAUGGAAAAAGAUGCGCUACAUUCUCUAAUAUAGAAAAAUACGAAAGAUUACCUAUGAAACCCUAAUCAGAAGGCGGAUUUAGUAGUAAAAAGAGAUCAGAAAACUCUUUUUAACCCGGCACUGGGGUGUGUACACACCGCCCGUCACCCUCUUCAAAGCCUUUAAAUAGUCAUUAACCUACCCCCCCCUGCUACACAGAAG